rnacentral:rRNA from 1 species
AGCGAACGCUGGCGGCAGGCCUAACACAUGCAAGUCGAACGAACUCUUCGGAGUUAGUGGCGGACGGGUGAGUAACACGUGGGAACGUGCCUUUUGGUUCGGAACAACUCAGGGAAACUUGUGCUAAUACCGAAUGUGCCCAUCGGGGAAAAGAUUUCUCGCCAUUAGAGCGGCCCGCGUCUGAUUAGCUAGUUGGUGAGGUAACGGCUCACCAAGGCGACGAUCAGUAGCUGGUCUGAGAGGAUGACCAGCCACACUGGGACUGAGACACGGCCCAGACUCCUACGGGAGGCAGCAGUGGGGAAUCUUGCGCAAUGGGCGAAAGCCUGACGCAGCCAUGCCGCGUGAAUGAUGAAGGUCUUAGGAUUGUAAAAUUCUUUCACCGGGGACGAUAAUGACGGUAACCGGAGAAGAAGCCCCGGCUAACUUCGUG